rnacentral:rRNA from 1 species
UGGGGAAUUUUGGACAAUGGGCGCAAGCCUGAUCCAGCCAUGCCGCGUGAGUGAAGAAGGCCUUCGGGUUGUAAAGCUCUUUCGGCGGGGACGAAAUGGUUCGUGCUAAUACCACGGACUGAUGACGGUACCCGAAGAAGAAGCACCGGCUAACUACGUGCCAGCAGCCGCGGUAAUACGUAGGGUGCAGGCGUUAAUCGGAAUUACUGGGCGUAAAGCGUGCGCAGGCGGUUUGCUAAGACAGGUGUGAAAUCCCCGGGCUUAACCUGGGAACUGCGCUUGUAACUGGCAAGCUAGAGUGUGGCAGAGGGGGGUGGAAUUCCAAGUGUAGCAGUGAAAUGCGUAGAUAUUUGGAGGAACACCGAUGGCGAAGGCAGCCCCCUGGGCUAACACUGACGCU